AGUAAAUAUUCUUCAGGUAAGAAAGCAAGAAAUCUCCAGUGCGUAAACAGCCAUUCUUUCCUAGGGUGAGCGCACUAUUACAGCAGUCUCUGUGUGGAGCCAUUAGAAGAAAGGGAAUUAUUUAUCAGUGAUAAUUGAUAUGUCACAGGGAGUGGACGGUUGGUUCUGCUUGGCUUCAGAAUCAUACUGGAUCUGUUAUUUAUUUUUCCAUCUGUUUGGAAUAAAAGAGGGAGGCUCUGUUGUCCCUGAGACAGCUGUGAUGUCAGAGACAGAGAAAGUCUGGACGGCUUUGGGGAAUUGCAGGGAUGGAUCAUGCAAGCAAUGAGAUGAUGGAACUUUAAAGCAUGCUGUCGUCUUUCAAAUACUGAAGCCACUCUAUCAAACGUCAUCCCGUGAUCAAAUGCCGGCAGCGAUGCAGGAAAGCGGCCCUGUCUUCAAUUAGCUUGCUGCCAUUUUCAUUUGCAUUUGAUACUCUCCUCCAGUCCAGAAACCUACGUUAUCAGAUAACACAAGCUAUAAACUUUUGUCUGUGAAAGAAAAUUCUAGCGCAGACACAGCUAACCAUCAACCUCAAUAAUGAGAUAACAUCAUCAUUCUGUUCUUAGAAAGUAAGCACACUUUAUUUUAUUGGGCGGCAAUUUUAAUGAGUAAUAAUUAUUCAACAGCGACAAACAGUACAGCAUUGUUUAUGCCUUCAGCCUUGAAACCACUGAAAGAAUCUGUUUCAGUUCAAAUACUUUUAAUGCUUAAAAAAGGUACAUGCUUAAAGCGGAAGUCCAUCAUAAAACAACAUUAUGCUCCAACACUAUAUUUUAUCACAUAUAUGUAGUUGAUUGUGCUGCCAUC